GAUGAACGCUGGCGGCGUGCUUAACACAUGCAAGUCGAACGAUGAAGCUCAGCUUGCUGGGUGGAUUAGUGGCGAACGGGUGAGUAACACGUGAGUAACCUGCCCUUAACUCUGGGAUAAGCCUGGGAAACUAGGUCUAAUACCGGAUAGGAGCGCCUACCGCAUGGUGGGUGUUGGAAAAAUUUAUCGGUUUUGGAUGGACUCGCGGCCUAUCAGCUUGUUGGUGAGGUAAUGGCUCACCAAGGCGUCGACGGGUAGCCGGCCUGAGAGGGGGACCGGCCACACUGGGACUGAGACACGGCCCAGACUCCUACGGGAGGCAGCAGUGGGGAAUAUUGCGCAAUGGGCGGAAGCCUGAUGCAGCGACUCAGCGUGAGGGAUGACGGGCUGCGGGUUGUAGACCUCUGUCAGUAGGGAAGAAGCGAAAGUGGCGGUACCUGCAGAAGAAGUACCGGCUAACUACGUG
rnacentral:rRNA from 1 species